AUUGAACGCUGGCGGCAUGCCUUACACAUGCAAGUCGAACGGCAGCACGGGAGCAAUCCUGGUGGCGAGUGGCGAACGGGUGAGUAAUGUAUCGGAACGUGCCCAGUCGUGGGGGAUAACGCAGCGAAAGCUGUGCUAAUACCGCAUACGAUCUAUGGAUGAAAGCGGGGGAUCGCAAGACCUCGCGCGAUUGGAGCGGCCGAUAUCAGAUUAGGUAGUUGGUGGGGUAAAGGCCCACCAAGCCGACGAUCUGUAGCUGGUCUGAGAGGACGACCAGCCACACUGGGACUGAGACACGGCCCAGACUCCUACGGGAGGCAGCAGUGGGGAAUUUUGGACAAUGGGCGCAAGCCUGAUCCAGCAAUGCCGCGUGCAGGAUGAAGGCCUUCGGGUUGUAAACUGCUUUUGUACGGAGCGAAACGGCUUCCACUAAUACUGGGGGCUAAUGACGGUACCGUAAGAAUAAGCCCGGCUAACUACGUGCCAGCCGCCGCCGUAA
rnacentral:rRNA from 1 species